UUUUCCAUCCGCGAUUUUUUUGGGUCAGUAUCCAGAAGUGCUUCAGGUCACUGUUCAUCGUCAAGGCGUGGCCCUCGGAAUGAAGGCAGCAGAAUUCUCCACUUUACCAAUACUUACAGGAUCUGGGACACACAGACUUUGAAAUAUGUUCUUCUUUGUCACCAAAAACAGAAAAAUGCACAACAGAGGGACAACAAAAGCCUCCUACAAGAGUCCUACCAAAAUACCUGGGAUAUAGUAAUCACUCAAUGAAUAUAAACUGCACUUACUGGCAUGCUCAAGGAAUGGGCUAUUAAGGGAUCUCUCAAUGCUAUUUGCCUUCAUUAGCUUGCUCGUUAUGCUUCCCACUUGGUGGAUUGUGUCUUCCUGGCUGGUAUGGGGAGUGAUUCUAUUUGUGUAUCUGGUCAUAAGAGCUUUGAGAUUAUGGAGGACAGCCAAACUACAAGUGACCCUAAAAAAAUACAGUGUUCAUUUGGAAGAUAUGGCCACAAACAGCCGAGCUUUUACUAACCUCGUGAGAAAAGCUUUACGUCUCAUUCAAGAAACCGAAGUGAUUUCCAGAGGAUUUACACUG
rnacentral:sRNA from 1 species